UCUAAAAUGUCUCUUGACAAUGACAAGUGUCUUACCAAUUCCUCCAACAAUCUCACUUCCUAAAAUAUCAUCAAUAGGAUUUCAGUUUGCUAAUCAAACUUACCAUAGACGAGGAACAGCUCCCAUUACAGAGGUACGGCCAUCACCCGAUUCAUUUGAUCCCUCAUCAGUUGUUGUGCCAUCCCCUGAUUUAGAUCUUGAUCAACCCAUUGCUACUUGAAAAGCCAUGGAGGAUGAAAUGAAAGCACUCAUUGAAAAUCGCACUUGGAAGCUUACUGCCCUUCCUGUGGGAAAGCAACCUGUUGGUUGUCGUUGGGUUUUCACGAUUAAGGUCCACCUUGAUGGCACCGUAGAUCAAUUGAAGACACGGUUGGUCGCCAGAGGAUAUACUAAAACAUAUGGUGUUGAUUAUGACAACACUUUUUCUCUUGUAGCCAAAAUUCCAUCUGUUCGUGUCUUUAUUUCUCUAGCAGCACAUUUUGGAUGGUUUCUUCAUCAAUUAGACAUCAAAAAUGCAUUCCUACAUUGUGAUUUGGCUAAAGAGGUGUAUAUGGAGCAAUCACCUGGAUUUGUUGCUCAGGGGGAGAAUCUGAUGUCAUUUACAUAAGGAAUUGUAUGGACUCAAGCAAUCUCCUCGUACUUGGUUUGGUAAGUUUAGUGAUGUUGUUAUCAAGUUUGAAUUAAAGUGUUGUCAAGUAGACCAUUCGAUCUUCAGUUCUGUCUCCUCAGCUAAUUGUAUUCUUCUGGUGGUAUAUGUGGAUGAUAUUAUCAUUACUGGCAGUUAUUCAUAUGGUAUUCAAUGACUCAAA